rnacentral:rRNA from 1 species
CAGUCGCCACGGUAAUACGUAGGUGGCAAGCGUUGUCCGGAUUUAUUGGGCGUAAAGCGAGCGCAGGCGGUUUCUUAAGUCUGAUGUGAAAGCCCCCGGCUCAACCGGGGAGGGUCAUUGGAAACUGGGAGACUUGAGUGCAGAAGAGGAGAGUGGAAUUCCAUGUGUAGCGGUGAAAUGCGUAGAUAUAUGGAGGAACACCAGUGGCGAAGGCGGCUCUCUGGUCUGUAACUGACGCUGAGGCUCGAAAGCGUGGGGAGCAAACAGGAUUAGAUACCCGCGUAGUCCCUGUCUCUUAUAC